rnacentral:misc_RNA from 1 species
GAAAUGCGAUAACUAAUGUGAAUUGCAGAAUUCAGAGAAUCAUCGAAUCUUUGGACGCACAUGGCGCCUUCCAGUAUCCUGGGAGGCAUGCCUGUCCGAGCGUCGUUGCAACCCUCGAGCCCCCGUGGCCCGGCGUUGGGGAUCUGCCCAGGCAGGCCCCGACACCCAGUGGCGGACCCGUUUCAGGUCCUUCCUUUGCGUAGUAAUACUGCCCCGCAUCGGGAGCCGGCGGGCUUCCAGCCUCUAAACCCCCAGCAAGUCCGCCUCGGCGGCACCAAGGUUGACCUCGGAUCAGGUAGGAAUACCCGCUGAACUUAA